rnacentral:rRNA from 1 species
UAGGGAAUCUUCGGCAAUGGACGAAAGUCUGACCGAGCAACGCCGCGUGAGUGAAGAAGGUUUUCGGAUCGUAAAACUCUUUUGUUAGAGAAGAACAAGGACGUUAGUAACUGAACGUCCCCUGAUGGUAUCUAACCAGAAAGCCACGGCUAACUACGUGCCAGCAGCCGCGGUAAUACGUAGGUGGCAAGCGUUGUCCGGAUUUAUUGGGCGUAAAGCGAGCGCAGGCGGUUCCUUAAGUCUGAUGUGAAAGCCCCCGGCUCAACCGGGGAGGGUCAUUGGAAACUGGGGGACUGGAGUGCAGGAGAGGAGAGUGGAAUUCCAUGUGUAGCGGUGAAAUGCGUAGAUAUAUGGAGGAACACCAGUGGCGAAGGCGGCUCUCUGGUCUGUAACUGACGCUGAGGCUCGAAAGCGUGGGGAGCAAACAGG